rnacentral:lncRNA from 1 species
GAGAUUCUUAUGUUCCUUCCCUCUAUGGGCAGAGGGUAUUUUCAGAAAAGUCUAGAAAACAUCAGAUCCAUUUGAUACAAAGAAAAAGCCCUCCUGCACUUCAAACCGCAGAGCCCUGCCAAGUACUCUGCCCUCAUCAAUCUCCAUUCAAAUGCCAGCAAAAUGACCCUACGGAUAAAGGCAGGAAAAUUGAAAUAUGAAAACUCCACAUUAUUAAGAAUACUGUGCAGUUUCAAGUCCACUGGAGACCCUCAAACAUUAAUUGAAUGUGAGUUGAAU